rnacentral:rRNA from 1 species
AACGAACGCUGGCGGCAGGCUUAACACAUGCAAGUCGAACGCCCCGCAAGGGGAGUGGCAGACGGGUGAGUAACGCGUGGGAAUCUACCCAGUUCUGCGGAACAACAGUUGGAAACGACUGCUAAUACCGCAUACGCCCUACGGGGGAAAGAUUUAUCGGAAUUGGAUGAGCCCGCGUAAGAUUAGCUAGUUGGUGGGGUAAUGGCCUACCAAGGCGACGAUCUUUAUCUGGUCUGAGAGGAUGAUCAGCCACACGGGGACUGAGACACGGCCCAGACGCCUACGGGAGGCAGCAGUGGGGAAUAUUGGACAAUGGGCGCAAGCCUGAUCCAGCCAUGCCGCGUGAGUGAUGAAGGCCUUAGGGUUGUAAAGCUCUUUCACCGAUGAAGAUAAUGACGGUAGUCGGAGAAGAAGCCCCGGCUAACUUCGUGCCAGCCGCCGCGGUAAAAC